rnacentral:rRNA from 1 species
AGUGAACGCUGGCGGCGUGCCUAAUACAUGCAAGUCGAACGGAGUGGCGCACGGGUGAGUAAUAUAUAGCUAAUCUGCCCCUUGCUGGAGGACAACAGUUAGCAAUGACUGCUAAUACUCCAUAGCAAGGGAUGAGACUAUAUCGUAUCAGCUAGUCGGUGGGGUAACGGCCUACCGAGGCGAUGACGCGUAACUGGGCUGAGAGGAUGAUCAGGCACAUUGAAACUGCGACACUGUCCAAAGUCCUACGGGAGGCAGCAGUUGGGAAUAUUGCGCAAUGGCGGAAACCCUGACGCAGCAACGCCGCGUGGAGGAUGAGGGCUUUCGGGUUGUGAACCUCGCCUAUCUAACAAGCGGUAGGUGGAGAGAAAGCGCCGGCUAACUACGUGCCAGCAGCCGCGGUAAUAC